rnacentral:misc_RNA from 1 species
AGCAGCCGCGGUAAUUCCAGCUCCAAUAGCGUAUAUUAAAGUUGUUGCAGUUAAAAAGCUCGUAGUUGAACUUCGGGGUUUACUCAUUGGUCAGGCUUAAUUGUCUGUACUGGUGAGAUGAAUCUCUACCUUCUGAGGAACUUUCAUGCCAUUUAUUUGGUGUGGUUGGAAAUCAGGACUGUUACUUUGAAAAAUUAGAGUGUUUAAAGCAGGCUAACGUCUGAAUACAUUAGCAUGGAAUAAUGAAAUAGGACGGAUUGAUUCUAUUUCGUUGGUUUCUAGGGUCACCGUAAUGAUUAAUAGGGAUAGUUGGGGGCAUUAGUAUUCAAUUGUCAGAGGUGAAAUUCUUGGAUUUUAUUGAAGACUAACUACUGCGAAAGCAUUUGCCAAGGAUGUUUUCAUUAAUCAAGAACGAAAGUUAGGGGAUCGAAGACGAUCAGAUACCGUCGUAGUCUUAACCAUAAACUAUGCCGACUAGGGAUCGGACGCAGUUAAUUUUAUA